AUGCAUCCCAAGGAUCUCUGAGCAUGAGCCAGGGUGGCCCAGGGGCUCACAGGAAUUCCCCUUCUGCUCUGAGCCCACCAGAGCUGGCUAUACAAUGAUAACUUCACCCCCCUCGCCCCCCAUGGGCAGCACCUGCUCCCUGGGUCUCCCCUGGUGGCCCUAUUAUCCCGCACCUGCUGCUUCCCCACCUGCUCCCUAUUCUUAGCCCCCUCCCCAUAGCACACCCUGUUCAUCACUAGGCCCAGCUGCCUGCUCUGACAGCCAGCCAGGAAGGGGUAAUAGAACCAGGAGAGGUAGCAUGGAGGGCCCAAGGACAGAGGGUCCAGAGGCCAGUCCAGCUCUGUUUGACUAGUAGUGUGUAUGCUUACAAUGGACUCCAUCUCAGGGCCUCAGUCUCCCCACCUGUGAAGUAGGAACCGCAAGCCCUGACCUCAACUUUCUACAAAAACUUUACUGCUUGGAAGAUCUUAGGCCAUCGUGUUUCAAGAUCUGAGUUACAGAGGACAACCAGGAAAGAAGUGGACCAUGAGGACAAAGAGCGGGACAAGGGAGGGUGACGCAACCUUCACGUGCAUGAAGAUGCUAAUGGUUCAUAUUUUAUAUCCUGAAGAAAGAAAUCAAAAGAACUAAAACAAUCCCCAUAGUUAAAACAGAACAAAGCAGAAAAAAAGAAUCACUUCUGGGGCUGGAGGUGAUGUUUCUGAAAAAGGGUCCCGAGGAACUGAAACCACAGUGAUGUGUCACAGAGAAAUGACAACUCACUUUUCCCAGAUGUGAGCUCUCAGCUAUUCCUGCCAUCAUGCCUGCUGCUUGCUGCUGUGAUUCCCAACUGUAACGGGGAUGGAGUCCUAUCCCCCUAGAACCAUUAGUCCAACAUAAAUCCUUCUGCACGUUUUCUU
rnacentral:lncRNA from 1 species